rnacentral:rRNA from 1 species
UACGUAGGGGGCAAGCGUUGUCCGGAAUUAUUGGGCGUAAAGAGCGUGUAGGCGGCCAGAUAAGUCCGCUGUGAAAUCUCGAGGCUCAACUUCGAGCUGUCGGUGGAAACUAUCUGGCUAGAGUCCGGAAGAGGAGAAUGGAAUUCCUGGUGUAGCGGUGAAAUGCGCAGAUAUCAGGAAGAACACCCGUGGCGAAGGCGGUUCUCUGGGCAUUACCUGACGCUGAGGAGCGAAAGUGUGGGGAGCGAACAGG